UGGAAUGUUAAGAAGUAUGUA
rnacentral:miRNA from 5 species